CAUGUCUUUUUGAUAAUAAUUUAAAGUCUAAUCUGCCCACUGAUAAAUUAAAUGGCCGCAGUAUUUUGACUGUGCUAAGGUAGCAUAAUAAAUAGUUUUUUAAUUGAAAGCUGGUAUGAAUGAUUGAAUGAGAUAAAAGCUGUCUCUAAAUUAAUUUUAUAGAAUUUUAUUUUUAAGUUAAAAAGCUUAAAUUUUUUUAAAAGACGAGAAGACCCUAUAGAGUUUUAUUGAUGUUUUGUAAGUUAAAUUUGUUUUAAUAGUUAUUUAUAGAAUAGUUAAUUUUGUUGGGGUGACCGAAAAACUUAAAGAACUUUUUUUUAGGAUAUCACUAAUUAGUGUUUUAAUGAUCCAAUAUUAUUGAUUAUAAGAUUAAAUUACCUUAGGGAUAACAGCGUAAUUUUUUUUGAGAGUUCUAAUCGAAAAAAAAGGUUGCGACCUCGAUGUUGGAUUAAAGUUUAAUUUUGGCGCAGAAGCUAAAAAUUUAAGUCUGUUCGACUUUUAAAACUUUACAUGAUCUGAGU
rnacentral:rRNA from 1 species